CGUGACGUCACCUCGCCGCGCUCUGAUUGGAGGAUGGCUCCGGGCGGGAGCUCGGGGGUAAACAAAGCGGUGUCGUCUUUUCUCCGCAGCCAUUGCGGAAGGCCUUUUCUGUGGCUCUCGGAAAUCCACUGCUAGUGCUUGAACGAGGACGCGGCAUACGGAAAAAAGAGACCGGAAAUACCUCCAAAUGUACGUUACUUCGUUUGACGCGAAAGAAUUUACCCUGGGAGCAUACGAAGCACCAAUAUGCGUCCCGGUCUUCGGCGGUGAGAUGUUGAUGUGAGCCCCCCCAACGUCAGCACGGUGAUGUGCGACGCGAGUGAGCCUUUCUACUUUUUGGCGGAGACCCCUUUUCGCCAGCAAGUGUCUCGGUGUUUCCGUGAAGCACCGAAGUGUAGCUACAGCCCUCUUCGGCGAGCUGAACGGGCUGCCGAGCUUUCGAAGGCCGAUCUCCCGCAGCGCUGGAACCCGGAGAACCGCGCCAUGGCGCUCGCUGAGAAUCCACCGGCUGCCGGGCUUCUGAAAGGGCCCUCUGCUCGGAGGACAUGUUGCGGGCCCUGUGUAAUGCCCUCGGCGCCUGUGCGACUUCAGGGGGUCUGCGUUUCACGGCCCCGUUACCAGCUGGGAAAUUCUCCAUGGAGGGGACGACAUCCUGUCCAGCACCAGCUUCACCAUCUGGGACCAAGUGCACGAGGGGUCGCACUGCAAGCAGAUGAAAGGAGGGCACUGCAACCUUGAGGUCAAGCUUGUACAUCUACCAUUACAGUCCUGAAUGGAUGCCAAUUGGUACUGAUGACCUUAUGAAGGUGAAACGUCCCUGGAUCUAAAGGGAAAAUUUGAUUGAAGCCGAGCUGAAGUUGUUUCUGACUUUAUCCUCUUAUGACUUGAAAGUAAUCUGCCUACUUCAUGAAUAUUGAAGAUGCAGAAUUUGUUUCCGUAACUGUCCCACUUCAACGUUAUGUGCACAUUGAAACCUGUUCCUCUUCUUUUUCUGCUUUCCGGCGAGAAAAAAAAGCCAACGAAUCUCCCUUUUCCUUCUCGCAAUGGGGAGGUGUGCAAGACUGAUUGCAUAUUUUAUAUAAGCAAUCAGUUUCAUAAGUGAAUGAAGAUAAAAGCAGAAUACAUGUUCACAGAUUAUUUGUGAAUUCUUAGACUUGCUGAAGUGAGUAGUUUAUGUUCGAGUCAUGUAAUUAUGAAGUCAAAACCAGAUUUAGUGCAUUUUUAAGAAGCCUUUUAGACCUGAGAGUUCUGUUUUGACUCAGCAAUACACAACUCACCUUUGUUAUUCCUAUAGCACAGCCAAAACUAUAAACAUGAGCAUGUUGCCUGACCAAUGCUUGAACUGCCGUGAAAUCGACGAAGUCCCUAUCCUUCGAGAACAAGUGUCAACGGGGAAUAGUCGAAAGACCAGGGUCAAGUAUGCACACACAUACUUGAUUUCAAGCUUGCAGAUUGAAAUAAUUGUUUAUUGAAUCAUAUCCAUUCUUAAACCUGUUUGAGAUUGUAUUGGUUCAUAUUCACAGUAUAUUUAUUUUUCAUUUCAGCAAGGAAUAAUUUAGAGACAGAUGUUGGUGUUCAGGCGUGAUGCUUUUAUUUUUGUAACAUGCAAGAGGGCAAAAAAUUAGAUUCGGCUUUGUAAACUGAUUUUUUUAUGUAUUCUUCCAAACAGCAUAGCAAAGAAUAAUAUAAGGGCUACAGCUGCGAGAGUUGCUACACCUGGCAUCUCAUUUGUUUUAUAGCAUGUACAGGUGAGACACUAUACUCCGUUUCUCGGUAAAUUGGCAAACAUUGUGACCCAAUAAGAGCAUCGGAGCCAGGCACGUGACAACACUCCACGGUCGAGUCCUCGUUAUUGCCACAGCAAGAGCGCCAUCUGCGACAAAACAUAGUUCUAGGCUUUGUUUUUUCUUCUUCUUUUAGUAGUGUUGCCGUCGGAUUCUUCGGACCGCAACACUACACGACACUGCAGAAAGACGAAGACACAUGUUACUGAUUAGCGACACUUAAUAUAGAUCAACACUUUUUUGAGAAAAACAUGGCUUGUGAUCGAAGUUCAAACAAUCGUAGCCGUGAAUCGACCACUUCCGCUCAAAACAUCGCCCUAGCAUUAGCACCCGCCACAGAUUCAUGGGCAAAUUGAGCAUGUGGUUGUAAGACGACAGCCGGUUCUGGCGGGUGGUCCUUGCAUUUGGCGCGGUGACACGAACGCUCCUGUGACAUGCGUCCAUGUGCCUCGCUCCGACAUUCUUACUGGGUCGCAGAAGCCGUAGCCUCCACAGUUCACCAAGCUAUCGUGAAACAGAAUGUAGACUAAGUUGCCUGCGUGCUAAUGAAAGUAGCCUUGCCAGCAUCAUGUAUUAUGUAUGAAACACUGUAUACUUCGAGAAAACAAAUAAAGUUAUUCAACCUUUCCACUGAUUGUGUUUGUUCAUUAGUAAAACUUGGUUCAGUGAACUUUACAUUUCAGCAUUAGCAUGGACACAACAGGUAAGGUCAAUCACAAGUGCUUUAGAGCGGUCCGAACAGUUUCCAAGUGGCUCAUGCAAAGCAGCUGACAUGGUAUUACCCCCAGGAAAGAGAUGAGACGUCCUCGACAAAUCUACUCAAGGCCCACCAAACUGAAUAUUAACGUUUCUAGGAAAUUGGAAUCAACCAAACAAUUCCAUGGAAAGGUACACCACAAACAGCAUUGGUGUGAGGGUGAGCCCUAUCUGCAGCGACAAUACUGAAGCCUCGCAUGCCACCAUUACUAACACAUGCAAGUAGUCAAUCGGCGCCUGGCAUACUUGGGCAUUGAUGAAACAAGGAAAGAUGAUCAAUGAGUGGACUAGGAAUGUGGAUCCAAAUGGGAAUGUCUUCACAAUCGCUGUAUGACCACCAUCUGUUGGUGUGUUUCUGGAUGUCAACAGCCCAUCUGGGACCUAGAAAUGACAAAUGAUGUUAGAAAGUUUGUCACUUAUACACUGGCUUUUGCUUGACCCAGUCUGCUGAGCGAACAAAAAUAUGUACAUGUUAGUCAUUGUUUACUCCCGUGUCAAUUUCAUGGGGCGCUCGUUAGCUAGGCUUGGAUAGUGCGCGAUCUCCGAAUUUUUAUCUUGGUAUGGGAACGAAAAAAAAGACAAGCGACACGCAAAAACACGUCAGACACUGACAGCGUCGAUGUGGUUCCAAGAUACACUGCGCAACACAUUUCGCAGAAAGGCGGCAUCGGUACUUCGUCGGCAAUUCACUCAUACUGGCUAAUGUGAAACGGCAAAUUUGUACUGUCCGAGUUGGUUCACUGUAUUACACGUAACAGCCAUUCAUAUUUCAUUCCUGAAAGAAAAAACGAUCGCGUUUUUGCGGCAAGUUUUGAGCUCUGUGCUUUUCUACAGUGCCAUGAUUACAACCGUAGGCUGCAACUACUAUACCAAAUACGAUGUAUGACUAUACUGCGUCUCACCUAAAUGCGAACGAAGCGAAAAUUACAAACGCGAGAAUCUGAUCAGCGCUUGUACUGCAAGAUCGCACAUGCAUGGCAGCUAUGAUCAAAGCUCGGGAUUCGCCCAUGUAGAUUUAACUUCGACCGCAUUUAAAAUGAAACGGAACAUAGCUUAUACGGCCUCCGUGCAGCUUCGAGUCGAAAUGACGAGUGUGUAUAUUCCUAAGUAUCACCUGCGAAGAUAGGCUUCGGAGGAUCGCGAAAACGCUACAUUCUCGGCCGUUUUUUCGAUUAAUAGCGCCCAUCGACUCCGCCACAUAAGAUUUAUAAAGACCUGCUAGAAGGCAAAAUCCGUUGUGUUCGUAAAGGAAGAACAAGAUAAAAGGCAACUUACCGGUACAAUCGGGCGGCGGUCUCGUAGUGACCGGCGCAACCGGCGUUUCAAUCGCGAGGCUAGGCAAGCGCCUUCUCGUUGGUGCUCUUCGUCGUCUUCAUCUUGGAAUCUUCGAAAUGCCUCUAGCAGACGACGGAGGAAUCGUAAGGGGCACAAAGCUGCUCGAUCUUGUGGACUCGGCAAAUUUUAACCGGGCUACAAUAAAUAAAAGACUCGCGAUCGCCGCUACAACACGGCCGCCAUGGCCGACGCCGAUGUUUGU